GGGGUUAUAGCUCAGAUGGGAGAGCGCCUGCUUUGCACGCAGGAGGUCAGCGGUUCGAGACCGCUUAGCUCCACCA
rnacentral:tRNA from 1 species